GGUGGAUUUUUAGCCCUGGUGGGUAGCUUCCCGGAAACGAAAGUCUUCCGGUUCCGGGGGAAGUAUGGUUGCAAAGCUGAAACUUAAAGGAAUUGACGGAAGGGCACCACCAGGAGUGGAGCCUGCGGCUUAAUUUGACUCAACACGGGGAAACUCACCCGGCCCGGACACCGUAAGGAUUGACAGAUUGAUAGCUCUUUCAUGAUUUGGUGGUUGGUGGUGCAUGGCCGUUCUUAGUUCGUGGAUCGAUUUGUCUGGUUUAUUCCGAUAACGAGCGAGACUCUAGCCUACUAAAUAGCUGCGGGAUUAUCAUUGUCCCGCCGGCUUCUUAGAGGGAUUUUCGGUGUUUAGCCGCACGAGAUUGAGCAAUAACAGGUCUGUGAUGCCCUUAGAUGUCCGGGGCUGCACGCGCGCUACACUGGCGAAAUCAGCGUGCUAUAUCCAUUCUCGAAAGGGAUUGGUAAACCCAUGAAAAUUUGCCGUGCUUGGGAUCGGAAAUUGCAAUUAUUUUCCGUGAACGAGGAAUUCCAAGUAAGUGCGAGUCAUCAACUCGCUCUGAUUACGUC
rnacentral:rRNA from 1 species